GACGCAACACGUAUCCUAAAAUUUGAAAGAGAGAGAACAAUUUCUCUUCCCGCUUCAGAGUAGUGAGUCAGCUUGCAUAGGAUAUAUUCCGAUGUGAAUAGACUGAAGCUUCAUUCUAAACUUUGCUGUUCGAAAAUUUAUUUUCAUCGAAGCGAAAUUGACGAAAUCCUUGGAUUCGAAAUGAAGAUUCCGAUUCGACACAGUUUUAUCGGACUAAUACUGUUGAUGGAAGCUUGUUUAUUCAUUAAAGGUGAGAAAUGCUGGAUGCCUAUGGUUUGCGACGGGCAACCUACUUGGAGAGACGUUAAGAAUGGACAGUGCACAAAAGACGAAGAGAAGGCUUUGGAAGCCUUAACGGAACAAUUACACGGAAUGAAA